GCUAUUUCAGGUUACGCCUACAGCAAGGCGUACAGAACGGUUUUCGUUUUAUAACAUUUCCUGAAAUUCAGUGUUAUUAUGUGUCUUCAUCACAAUCUCAAUCUAAAAGCUGUCUGGUUCUCUUGUCAACGCACUGCUGAACGUACCAAUUGUUAUCCGUUCAACUUUUUCUCUGUUAGCCACACGGUCUGAAGAUCAGCGCCCCCAGAUCAUGAGGCUUCCAUCUUGUGGGUAUGGCGUGUAUCACAGUAUACUGAUAACGAUGAGAUAUUUGGCAUUAACAUAUUGUGUACAGUGUGU